AUACGGGGGGGGCAAGCGUUGUUCGGAAUUACUGGGUUUAAAGGGUCCGUAGGCGGACUAUUAAGUCAGAGGUGAAAUCCCACAGCUCAACUGUGGAACUGCCUUUGAUACUGGUAGUCUUGAGUUAUAUGGAAGUAGAUAGAAUGUGUAGUGUAGCGGUGAAAUGCAUAGAUAUUACACAGAAUACCGAUUGCGAAGGCAGUCUACUACGUAUAUACUGACGCUAAGGGACGAAAGCGUGGGGAGCGAACAGGAUUAGAAACCCUAGUAGUCC
rnacentral:rRNA from 1 species